CUUAAUGCCCCUGGAUGAGUACGUGUAGCCAUGCAAUGCAUACUUUUGUUCUGCCGCUAAUCAACCAAGUGCAAUUCCUAUGUACUUGACUUCGUACAAGCUCGAUAUGUACGCGUUGAUGCCAUGCUAUUGACCUUUUCUUUAGCAAAAUAAUUUGGUUUUCUACAUAUAUUUCCAACUUGGUCAAAGAUCCGAAGUCUAAUGUUAUCAUC
rnacentral:lncRNA from 1 species